rnacentral:rRNA from 1 species
GUUCCUUGGAACAGGACGUCACAGAGGGUGAGAAUCCCGUGAGAUAAGCUUCCCAGUUCUAUGUAAAGUGCUUUCGAAGAGUCGAGUUGUUUGGGAAUGCAGCUCUAAGUGGGUGGUAAAUUCCAUCUAAAGCUAAAUAUUGGCGAGAGACCGAUAGCGAACAAGUACAGUGAUGGAAAGAUGAAAAGAACUUUGAAAAGAGAGUGAAAAAGUACGUGAAAUUGUUGAAAGGGAAGGGCUUGAGAUCAGACAUGGUAUUUUGUAAACCUUCUCUCUCGUGGAGGGGGCCCCUUGCAGUUUACUGGGCCAGCAUCAGUUUGGGCGGUAGGAUAAUGACUAAGGAAUGUGACUUGCCUUCGGGGAAGUGUUAUAGCCUUGGUUGAUACUGCCAGCCUAGACUGAGGACCGCGUCUUGACAAGGA